rnacentral:rRNA from 1 species
UACGUAGGGUGCAAGCGUUGUCCGGAAUUAUUGGGCGUAAAGAGCUCGUGAGGCGGUUCUGUUACGAUCUGGCUGUCGAAAACCCAGGGCGUUGAAACCCUCGGGCGUGCAGUGGGAUACGGGGCAGACGUAGAGGCAGGUAGGGGGAGAAUGGAAUUCCCGGUGUAGCGGUGGAAAAUGCGCAGAUAUCGGGAGGAACACCGGUGGCGAAGGCGGUUCUCUGGGCCUGACCUGACGCUGAGGAGACGAAAGCGUGGGGGAGCGAACAGG